rnacentral:tRNA from 1 species
GAGGGAUGGCCGAAAGGUUAAGGCGCCGGUUUGAUAAGCCGGUUGGUGAUUUGUCGCCUUGAGGGUUCGAAUCCCUCUCC